GGGCGCGUAACUCAGCGGUAGAGUGCCACCUUCACACGGUGGAAGCCAUAGGUUCGAACCCUAUCGCGCCCACAA
rnacentral:tRNA from 1 species